rnacentral:lncRNA from 1 species
UGUGCAAGGCAGAGUAUAUCAUAAUAUCUGAUGCUACGAAGGAAGCUGUAUAGUUGUGAAAGUUCAUCGAUGAGCUCGAAGUGUCAUCCUCCAUCGACGGUUCGAUCCUGCUGUACUACGACAUCACUGGCCCUAUUGCUCAAGCGAAAGAAUCAAAGUUCCAUUAGCGCACCAAGCAUAUUCUGCACCACUACCACUUGAUCCAA